rnacentral:rRNA from 1 species
CUACGGGAGGCAGCAGUGGGGAAUCUUAGACAAUGGGGGAAACCCUGAUCUAGCCAUGCCGCGUGAGUGACGAAGGCCCUAGGGUCGUAAAGCUCUUUCGCCAGGGAUGAUAAUGACAGUACCUGGUAAAGAAACCCCGGCUAACUCCGUGCCAGCAGCCGCGGUAAUACGGAGGGGGUUAGCGUUGUUCGGAAUUACUGGGCGUAAAGCGCGCGUAGGCGGACUAUUAAGUCAGGGGUGAAAUCCCGGGGCUCAACCCCGGAACUGCCUUUGAUACUGGUAGUCUUGAGUUCGAGAGAGGUGAGUGGAAUUCCGAGUGUAGAGGUGAAAUUCGUAGAUAUUCGGAGGAACACCAGUGGCGAAGGCGGCUCACUGGCUCGAUACUGACGCUGAGGUGCGAAAGUGUGGGGAGCAAACAGGAUUAGAUACCCUGGUAGUCCACACCGUAAACGAUGAAUGCCAGUCGUCGGCAAGCAUGCUUGUCGGUGACACACCUAACGGAUUAAGCAUUCCGCCUGGGGAGUACGGUCGCAAGAUUAAAACUCAAAGGAAUUGACGG